rnacentral:rRNA from 1 species
CCUACGGGAGGCAGCAGUGGGGAAUCUUAGACAAUGGGCGCAAGCCUGAUCUAGCCAUGCCGCGUGAGUGAUGAAGGCCUUAGGGUCGUAAAGCUCUUUCGCCAGAGAUGAUAAUGACAGUAUCUGU